rnacentral:rRNA from 1 species
UGGGGAAUAUUGCACAAUGGGCGAAAGCCUGAUGCAGCCAUGCCGCGUGUGUGAAGAAGGCCUUAGGGUUGUAAAGCACUUUCAGCGAGGAGGAAAGGUUAGUCGCUAAUACCGGCUAGCUGUGACGUUACUCGCAGAAGAAGCACCGGCUAACUCCGUGCCAGCAGCCGCGGUAAUACGGAGGGUGCAAGCGUUAAUCGGAAUUACUGGGCGUAAAGCGCGCGUAGGCGGCUUGUUAAGCCAGAUGUGAAAGCCCCGGGCUUAACCUGGGAACUGCAUUUGGAACUGGCAGGCUAGAGUACAGAAGAGGGUGGUAGAAUUUCCUGUGUAGCGGUGAAAUGCGUAGAUAUAGGAAGGAAUACCAGUGGCGAAGGCGGCCACCUGGUCUGAUACUGACGCUGAGGUGCGAAAGCGUGGGGAGCAAACA